rnacentral:lncRNA from 1 species
CCUUUUCUAUAAAAAAUUAGUAAUAAUAGAGUAAUAAUAGCCCCUACAUCCUAGGGGCCUUAGAAGAAACAAAUGACUUGAUAAUUGUAAUGGCUUAGCAUGGUACCUGGUAUAAAGUAAGCACUAUAUAAAUGUUAGCCAAUAUUAUUAUUUUACUUUUUCACUUGAUAGUCUCAUCAGUUCUAAUCAAUUCAUCUUUGCACACAUGGAUCCUGUAAAAUGGAAUUCUUUUUCUGUUUUCAUUUAAUGGGGGACCUGGAGGUCCUCUUACUGUAGAGAUGUGUAGGGAUUAACCAGCCCACGGUGACAGGAAGUAGAAACCAUAGGGACAGGAAAGAGAAACCAUAGAGAUAGGAAGAAGAAAUCAUAGAGACAGGAAGUGAAGUAGAAUAAACGGAGAAAAAGUGGAUCAUGGCCAGAUAGGACGAGGAAAUGGAUCUCAUUUUGAUGGCACUCAGCAGAAAGCACAUACCAUCAAUCAUGCCGUGUAGCCCGGCAUUUUCCUGUCCUACUUGUCUCAUGCAUUUCAGCACCAUGUGCAGUCUGUGCGUCCUUUGUUUGAAUUCGACAACAGGCAGCAGCCCUCGCUUAACAACUACCUUCUCUCACAUGCCAAGCACCGACUGGACCAAAGCCAGAUAUCUUUUAAUUUGUUUGCCUCUGGGUCCAUGCCAACUGACCCUCACUGGCAGACCCCUGUCACGAAGGCUGAGCAGUCAGAAAAAGUCGGCCCCUGACGUAUUUUGAAGACAUCCAAAAUACAAUACCAGCUGUUGGUUCCACAAAGGCAUUCCAAGAUUCCUAAUGUUUUGCUUUAUAGUUUAAGUCUUUCUUUGUGCUUUGGUACAAAUAAAGCCUUUACACUCAAGCUCGCUUUCUGUUUC